rnacentral:rRNA from 1 species
GACGAACGCUGGCUGCGUGCCUAAUACAUGCAAGUAGGACGCAGUUGCGAACGGGUGAGUAACGCGUAGGUAACUACCUAUUAGAGGGGGAUAACUAUUGGACACGAUAGCUAAUACCGCAUACUUGUAGCUCGACCUGCGUUGUAUUAGCUAGUAGGUAGGGUAAUGGCCUACCUAGGCAACGAUACAUAGCCGACCUGGGAGGGUGAUCGGACACAAUGGGAAUGAGACACGGCCAAGACUCCUACGGGAGGCAGCAGUAGGGAGACUACGGCAAUGGGGGGAACCCUGACCGAGCAACGCCGAGGGAGUGAAGAAGGUUUUCGGAUCGUAAAGCUCUGUUGUUAAGGAAGAGGGAGGUAAACAGAAAGGGAAGGCUAACUACGUGCCAGCAGGCGCGGUAAUAG